AUCCAGCUGACGAGUCUUAAAUAGGGUGGAACGUGAGUCCUGGAU
rnacentral:hammerhead_ribozyme from 1 species